rnacentral:ncRNA from 1 species
AUAUUCUUCCCACCGGGGAACAAACUUGUAAGAGCAAUUGAUACACUUCAUUAGGUCUUUGAAGAAGUGUAUCAAUUGCUUUUUUUAGU